rnacentral:rRNA from 1 species
UACUCCUACGGGAGGCAGCAGUAAGGAAUAUUGGUCAAUGGGCGCAAGCCUGAACCAGCCAUGCCGCGUGCAGGAAGACGGCCCUAUGGGUUGUAAACUGCUUUUGUCAGGGAAUAAACCCCCGCUCGUGAGCGGGGCUGA